ACACAAUGUAAUAAGUGAUUCAGAUCUGUUUGUGUUCGGUUCUUGAAAAUUGUAGCUGUGGACGGAAUCAAUUUCUGUGAUUUAGUUUUACAUCGCAAAAUUGUGUUUAAAAUCGUUUUUGUUGCUGUUAAGUAAAGUCUAAGUGUGGUUAUUUUUUGUGCAAUACGAUCGUUAAUAUUGUAAAUGUCAAAGUUUGAGGAAAUUAUUUUAGGAUGAUGUAAUAUUGUGUACAAAAAAUGAAAGACAAGAGACUUGAAGUGAAACUGAGCGUCCGCGGCGACGGCUCGCUCAGUAGAAACAGUUUGAGAAGCAGCACCAGAAGCGAUCGAAGUAAUUUGAGCAACAACAGUGGACUGCCCGUUAGCGAAAUAUUCGCCACAGAUCGAUUCUCAGCACCACACAGCAGACCUUUCGAUACACUCGAUAAGUACCGCCGGCAACCGAAUCAACGCAGCUAUAUA